rnacentral:rRNA from 1 species
GUGGGGAAUAUUGGACAAUGGGGGCAACCCUGAUCCAGCAAUGCCGCGUGAGUGAUGAAGGCCUUAGGGUUGUAAAGCUCUUUUGCCAGGGAAGAUGAUGACUGUACCUGGAGAAUAAGCCCCGGCUAACUUCGUGCCAGCAGCCGCGGUAAUACGAAGGGGGCUAGCGUUGUUCGGAAUUACUGGGCGUAAAGGGCGCGUAGGCGGCCGUUUAAGUUAGGUGUGAAAGUCCUGGGCUCAACCUGGGGACUGCACUUAAUACUGGAUGGCUUGAAUUCGGGAGAGGAUAGCGGAAUUCCCAGUGUAGAGGUGAAAUUCGUAGAUAUUGGGAAGAACACCGGUGGCGAAGGCGGCUAUCUGGACCGACAUUGACGCUGAGGCGCGAAAGCGUGGGGAGCAAACAGGAUUAGAAACCCUAGUAGUCC